GAUGAACGCUAGCUACAGGCUUAACACAUGCAAGUCGAGGGACCGGCGCACGGGUGAGUAACACGUAUCCAACCUGCCUUUUACUCGGGGAUAGCCUUUCGAAAGAAAGAUUAAUACCCGAUGUAAAGGAUGGGGAUGCGUUGCAUUAGGUUGUUGGUGAGGUAACGGCUCACCAAGCCGUCGAUGGAUAGGGGUUCUGAGAGGAAGGUCCCCCACAUUGUAACUGAGACACGGUCCAAACGCGUACGAGGGGCAGCAGUGAGGAAUAUUGGUCAAUGAUCGUUAGACUGAACCAGCCAAGUAGCGUGAAGGAUGAAGGCUUCUGGGUCGUAAACUUCUUUUAUAUAAGAAUAUGUAUUUUAUGAAUAAGGAUCGGCUAACUCCGUGCCAGCAGCCGCGGUAAUAC
rnacentral:rRNA from 1 species